ensembl:misc_RNA
GUGACAGUCCUGGAGAAUAAAGCCCUUUACUUAUCCACAGAACAGAUACAGCAAGCCCAAAGAUAAACGAGUCUCACAGCCCUGCUGUCGUCAUCCUCCCGCAGCAGUGAUGUGAGAAACCACCCUCAGGAAAUAAGAUGUAUUUAGUCCCCACAACCAUUCAGUUCUUGGUCUUU